GGCUAUGUAGCUCAGCUGGUUAGAGCACAGCACUCAUAAUGCUGGAGUCGGUGGUUCGAGUCCACCCAUAGCCACCA
rnacentral:tRNA from 1 species